rnacentral:misc_RNA from 1 species
GUAUUAUAUUGCGUUAAACGCGAUGUACAUUCCAUGAGACUUCAUCACAGUGUGUGUGUAAAGACAUAGAACCACAGCAGGAGGGCAGGGCCCCCCACGCCAUAGAACUACAGAGGGUGCACAGGUGUGAGUGGAUGUGUAAACAGAGCGUGCACAUGCCCCCAUACGGGGACCAGCAACAACUCUUGUUGACAAUUCGGUAAUGAUCCUUCCGCAGGUUCACCUACGGAAA